rnacentral:rRNA from 1 species
UACAGAGGGGGCAAGCGUUGUUCGGAAUUACUGGGCGUAAAGGGCGCGUAGGCGGCCUGCUAAGUCGAACGUGAAAUCCCUGGGCUCAACCCAGGAACUGCGUCCGAUACUGGUUGGCUUGAAUCCGGGAGAGGGAUGUGGAAUUCCAGGUGUAGCGGUGAAAUGCGUAGAGAUCUGGAGGAACACCGAUGGCGAAGGCAGCCCCCUGGGUUAACACUGACGCUCAUGCACGAAAGCGUGGGGAGCAAACAGG